UGAGAUCAUGACCUGAGCCGAAAUCAAGAGUUGGUCGCUUAACCGACGGAGCCACCCAGGCGCCCCUCCUUUAUAAUUUAAAAAAUAGUUUUCCUACCUCUACAAAACUGAGACACUUAGAAAUUUAGAAAUAAAGGCACAUUCCACAAAGUAACAUAAGGAGAGUAAAAAUAAUUACUAGGAACUAGUGUUUUCCAACUUUGAGUCAAGAACCCCGCUCUCAUUCACAUCUAAUCUUGCAAACUCAUCGGAACUCAUUCACACCAGCUUCUGGCUGACUGGUCCCCACGUCCCACCCACGGCCUGGCCCACGGCCACCGCUGUGGACACAGCCCCUGGGUGUCUCUGAGCACCUCUCCCGAGACACCCCACUGCAGAAAGUGCUUCUGCAGCUCACACAGGCAGGAGACCCAGGGUUCGCCCCAGAUUCUCCCCUUCCCUCCACAUCCGAGCAUAGCGCAUAGCGGACUCUUCUGCCUUCACCUGGCUCCACCCCCGCCCGCCUUUUUACUGCCACACCUUGUCCACGCCUGUCUCAGCUGGACACGCCCUCAUAGGGCCUGCUCCCACCUGUGCCCUAAAUCCUUUCCAGCACAGAGUGAAAGUGCACUUCUUGAGGCAAACUGGGUCCCAUCGGUUGGGGGCCGACAGCUUUCAAUGAAAGUCCCAACAAUGGCAGCUGUCACCUGUAAGGGACCCUCUCGCCCCCUCCCCCCACUCCAGCCGUGCUACCUGCACACGCGAUGGGGCAGGGCUCCCCGCAUCCCUCUAAGAACCAGGGGGCCACAGGCCCUGGGGGCCACCCCUCGAGGUCUCCCCUGGAGUGCUACUCCUCCAAGAACCCCUGCCUGCCUGGCCUGAAGGACACCCCUCAUGGUUCUCAGUGCCUGCCAGGCCCUUCUGAUUCUUUCACUACAUUCUCAGAAUUGGUCAUCACCUCUCCCAUCUGUUCGGUUACGUUUUUUCGCCUAUCUUCUAAAACUAAAAGGUAGGCUCCACGAAGCCGGGGCCCCCGCCUGGCAGCUGGCACAAAGGGCUAGCAAACAACCGUUGAAUUGAUAACCCUUAGGUAAAUAUUACUUGUGACAACCAGAGUCACCUUCUUGACAAUUCUCCAGCUUCAGGGACAAGAGACCCCCUGCAGCUCUGCUCGGCCCAGCCUGAGGAGCCCUGGACGCCAGCCGCCCCAAGGAGACAGACCAUGAGGAACUGAGUUUUCAGCACUGGAGCAGUUCUCAAUUUAUCAUGUCCUGCAAACCACGGACUACAGCUACGGUUCCCACUUCUUAUAAACCAUUGCUCAUUUUGGAAGGACGUAUUCAGUAUCAAUUUAGAUAAGAAGACAAAAGAGAAACAAAAUCUAGACCUUACCUGCCACAUUCUCCCGCGGCUGCAAUGGCUUCCUUGGCAAGUCGCAAAGCGGUCUCCUGGCUGUACCAAAACUGGCUCAACUGCUGUAACAGAGCAAUGACUUGAAAUCAGUUGAGAACUGCCAUACAUUCCGUCCUUUUAAUUUACGUCUACCACUCCAAUGUGCAUACAUUUCAAGUGUUUUUUUCUUUUUAAAACUAACUAUUCUUUGGAAUUAUUUUAAAGUAACAGAAGGCCCUAAUUACUGGAAUCUAGGCAUUGAGCACCAGCGGCUGCUGACACCACAGAAGGAGACAACGGUCAACGUUUCUGCUGGUGGAAGAACAUACUCCCGCCUUUGUGUGACUCUUGCCCCCAAAAACUGAACCUGAGUCUGAUUAAGCCUCUAGGAUCAACUACCCACUAGCAGAACCACAAAUAGAGGAUGGAAGAACGUGUGAAAUACCACCACAGGGAUGAGAGGAGCGAAACCCAGUCCGUGGUCCUUUUCCACCGCCUCCUCUCUUUACCUUAUGAGGACUUCCCGAGUUACUUGUCUUUUCCCUUAGGGUCCACGGCAUCUCGGACUCGAUGAAAUGGGAUCACUGUACCAACCGCAGGCGGCAAUGCAGUGAGCCAUCCGUGCAGCACUUCCAUCAUUUCACAGCCUCAGAAUAAAGUCACAAAGAGAUUUAAGAGACUGAUUGAUACCCAAAUGUCUAUCAACAGACAAAUGGACAUACAAAGGAAUAUCAUUCAGACUCCAAAAGGAAGAAAAUUCUGAUACAUAGCUACAACAUGGAUGAACGUUGAGGACAUUAUGCUAAGUGAAAAAAGUCAGUAACAAAAGACAAAUACUCUAUGAUUCCACUGAUAUGAGGUACCCAGGGUCAUCACAUUCACAAAGACAGAAAGUAGAAUGGCAGUUGCCAGGGGCUAAGGGGUGGGAAGAAUAGGAAGUUGUUUAACGUGUAUAUAGUUUUAGUUUUACAAGAUGAAAAGUGUUCUAGAGAUGGACGGUGGCAAUGGUUGUGCAACAGUGUGAAUUAUUAACACUACUGAACUGUACACUUAAAAAUGGUUAAGAUGGUAAAUUUGAUGUUACGUGUAUAUUACCACAAUAAAAAUAUUGGGGGAAAAUGUCAUUAGAGUGGAUAUCAACGGACUGUUAAGCAAGGUAAUUAGAUUGUUGUCAUGGCUCUGUUGUCUCGUUUCCCUGAAGAAGUCAUAUUUAAGCUAGGAUCUAAAGAAGAAGUUCUCCCAUUGGCAAAGAAAGGAGAAAGAGCAUUCAAGGUAGAAGAAACAGCAUCUGCAUCAAGUGGUUGGUAAGAGAACUGAUGCGUUACACAGUUUGAAGUAAAUUAGGCGUAAUUUCAAAAGAAUGGCCUACUAAUUCAGCAAUAAAACAAUGUCUGCAAUGUACUGUUAAUUUGAAUUUUGUUGUUUUAGUUUUGUUUAUACUGAAUUUGAGAAUGUGUUAAAUUCUGUAGUUGUGGAAGAAUCAAAAGCAGGAUGAAUUAUUUACCUCUGAGGUUUUAAUUUAGAAUAAAAAUAACUUAAAUCAA